rnacentral:tRNA from 1 species
UCCGGAGGAGCCCGUGCUGGGACGGGCAGGCGGCUGUUAACCGCCCUGACGCAGGUUCGAUUCCUGCCUCCGGAG